GGGGAUGUAGCUCAGUUGGCUAGAGCGCUACGCUGGCAGCGUAGAGGUCGUCGGUUCGAGCCCGAUCUUCUCCACAA
rnacentral:tRNA from 1 species